AGAGUGCGUAAUAGCUCACUGGUCGAGAGGUCCUGCGCCGAAAAUGUCCGGGGCUGAAACGCGCCACCGAAACUAAGGAACCGAAAGGUUGGUAGAGGAGCAUUGCAUGCGGAACGAAGCAGUACCGUAAGGAGCUGUGGACUGCAUGGAAGAGAGAAUGCCGGAAUGAGUAGCGAGAUAGAGGUGGGAAUCCUCUAGGCCGAAUAUCCAAGGUUUCCAGAGUAAAGCUGAUCUGCUCUGGGUAAGUCGGGGCCUAAGGCGAGGACGAGAGUCGUAGCCGAUGGACAACAGGUGGAGAUUCCUGUACUGCGGUAUGACAGAACUGUGGGGACACGUAAGGAAAGCGGAAGCCGGGAAUGGAAAGCCCGGUGCAAGCGGGGUACCAGUCACUUUGGCAAAUCCGGGUGGCAAUGGGAAGCCGUGAUGCGGAGCGAAAUAAAGUAGCGAAGUCCGUGAGCCAUGCGUCAAGAAAAGCCGCUAUUGUUUAUACCGUACCCGUACCGUAAACCGACACAGGUGGAUGAGGAGAGAAUCCUAAGGCCGGCGGAAGAAGCAUUGUCAAGGAACUCGGCAAAAUGACCCCGUAACUUCGGGAGAAGGGGUGCCUGCGAGAGCAGGCCGCAGAGAAUAGGCUCAAGCAACUGUUUAGCAAAAACACAGGUCUAUGCGAAACCGAAAGGUGAGGUAUAUGGGCUGACGCCUGCCCGGUGCUGGAAGGUUAAGAGGAGAGGUUAGCGCAAGCGAAGCUUUGAAUUUAAGCCCCAGUAAACGGCGGCCGUAACUAUAACGGUCCUAAGGUAGCGAAAUUCCUUGUCGGGUAAGUUCCGACCCGCACGAAAGGCGUAAUGAUUUGAGCGCUGUCUCGACAAUGCAUCCGGUGAAAUUGAAGUACCAGUGAAGAUGCUGGUUACCUGCGCCAGGACGGAAAGACCCCAUGGAGCUUUACUCCAGUCUGGUACUGGGACUCGGUAUUGCAUGUACAGGAUAGGUGGGAGGCUAGGAGAUGGUAACGCCAGUUGCCAUGGAGCCGCUGUUGGGAUACCACCCUUGCAGUAUUGGGUUUCUAACCAGCCGCCGUGACCCGGCGGUGGGACAAUGCCAGACGGGGAGUUUGACUGGGGCGGUCGCCUCCGAAAGGGUAUCGGAGGCGCCCAAAGGUUCCCUCAGAAUGGACGGAAACCAUUCGAAGAGUGCAAAGGCAGAAGGGAGCUUGACUGCGACACCGACGGGUGGAGCAGGUACGAAAGUAGGACUUAGUGAUCCGGUGGUAUUAAGUGGGAAUGCCAUCGCUCAACGGAUAAAAGCUACCCUGGGGAUAACAGGCUUAUCACUCCCAAGAGUUCACAUCGACGGAGUGGUUUGGCACCUCGAUGUCGGCUCAUCGCAUCCUGGGGCUGUAGUAGGUCCCAAGGGUUGGGCUGUUCGCCCAUUAAAGCGGUACGCGAGCUGGGUUCAGAACGUCGUGAGACAGUUCGGUCCCUAUCCGGCGUGGGCGUAGGAUAUCUGAGAGGAGCUGUCCUUAGUACGAGAGGACCGGGAUGGACGGGCCGCUGGUGCAUCGGUUAGACUGCCAAGUCUACGGCCGAGUAGCCAAGCCCGGAAGGGAUAAACGCUGAAGGCAUCUAAGCGUGAAGCCCCCCUUAAGAUGAGAUAUCCCAUUCGAAAGAAGUAAACCCCCUUGA
rnacentral:rRNA from 1 species